GUUGUAAUAAUAUUUUGUGUCAUCCAUUACGAACCCCCCUUCUUAUUUCUGUCUUCGAUGUAGCUGAGAUACUACCCUCAACAUAUGCUGGACUAUUCUUUGGCCUGUGCUAGAGCCAAGCCCAGGGAAUACAAACCAAUUUUUUGUUUCCGAAGACAUGAAUCAAGCUUCAAUUUUUCAACCAAUGCGACAUACCUAUUGCACAGCUGAUCAAUUUGCUUUAAUAGUUUAACUUGAUUGGUAUGUGGAUGUCUCCAAUUAUGAUCAUGAUAGGCAUCAUUGGUAGUUAUGACCAAAGGGCUCUGAGCCCAAAUAGCGUGGGGUCCUCCUCUGAGGUAUUGUCAGGUCAUUUCACUUACUCGGACU
rnacentral:lncRNA from 1 species